UCUAUUAUCCUCCCCUUUUACAGGACGGGACACUUAGGCACAGAGAGGUUAAGUUACUUGCCUCGGGGCUACACAGCAAAGAAGUGGGGACUCCAACUCCUUCUCCUUCUCCAUGGCGCCUCCCCACAAGGAGUGCAGGACAGGAAGAAGGGGUGCUGCUGCUGCUUCCCCCCCCACCACCACUCCCACUCCUGCACCCUCACCCCAGGCCCUGGGAGUCCCAGCCUCCAGAACAGUGCCCUGAAAUUCAGCACAAGGUAGGAGGAGCCUUCAUCUCCCAGGAAACGGCCUUGCUCUGAGCCAGCUCAAAGUUCACGUUCAGGAGCAGCAAACCGAGGCCAGGAGAGGGGCUGGGAGACAAGUGAUUCCUAUGGAUUCAUUGAAGCAGGCCUGGAAAACUCUUGGAAGAGCUUGCACGUGGGCAAGAGGAGGACCUGGCUUCUCCGAUGAAAUCCAAAGGGCAAUAGAAAUCGGAGGUUGCCAAAGGCUUGGUGGAGGCCAGGUGGAGUUAGGCUCUGGGACUAUGGAGGAAACCAGAGUGUGGAAAUAAAUCAGUGUCCAGGGCUUCCCUGGUGGCGCAGUGGUCAAGAAUCCGCCUGCCAAUGCAGGGGACAUGGGUUCGAGCCCUGUUCCGGGAAGAUCCCACAUGCCAUGGAGCAACUGGGCCCAUGCGCCACAACUACUGAGCCUGCACUCUAGAGCCCGCGAGCCACAACUACUGAGCCCAAAUGCCACAAUUACUGAAGCCCACGCGCCUAGAGCCCAUGCUCCACAACAAGAGAAGCCACUGCAAAGAGAAGAAGCCCACGCACCGCAACGAAGAGUAGCUCCCGCUCGCCGCAACUAGAGAAAGCCCGCACACAGCAACAGAGACCCAACACAGCCAAAAAUAAAUUAAAAAUAAAAUUAAUUAAUUAAAAACAAAA